UACAGAGGGUGCAAGCGUUAAUCGGAAUUACUGGGCGUAAAGCGCGCGUAGGCGGCUGUCUAAGUCGGAUGUGAAAUCCCCGGGCUCAACCUGGGAACUGCAUUUGUGACUGCAUGGCUGGAGUGCGGCAGAGGGGGAUGGAAUUCCGCGUGUAGCAGUGAAAUGCGUAGAUAAUUCGCAAGAACACCAGUGGCGAAGGCGGCUCACUGGCCCAUUACUGACGCUGAGGCACGAAAGCGUGGGGAGCGAACAGG
rnacentral:rRNA from 1 species